rnacentral:rRNA from 1 species
UGAGGAAUAUUGGUCAAUGGGGGCAACCCUGAACCAGCCAAGUCGCGUGAAGGAUGAAGGUCUUAUGGAUUGUAAACUUCUUUUACACGGGAAUAAAGCGGGGGACGUGUCCCUCUUUGCAUGUACCGUGUGAAUAAGGAUCGGCUAACUCCGUGCCAGCAGCCGCGGUAAUACGGAGGAUCCGAGCGUUAUCCGGAUUUAUUGGGUUUAAAGGGUGCGCAGGCGGGAUGUUAAGUCGGCGGUGAAAUUUUGCAGCUCAACUGUAAAAGUGCCUUCGAUACUGGCCUUCUUGAGUGUGGAUGAAGUAGGCGGAAUUUGUGGUGUAGCGGUGAAAUGCUUAGAUAUCACGAGGAACUCCGAUUACGCAGGCAGCUUACUAAGCCACAACUGACGCUCAUGCACGAAGGCGUGGGGAUCAAACA